GAUGAACGCUGGCGGCGUGCUUAACACAUGCAAGUCGAACGGAAAGGCUCCUGCUUGCCGGGGUACUCGAGUGGCGAACGGGUGAGUAACACGUGGGUGAUCUGCCCUGCACUUCGGGAUAAGCCUGGGAAACUGGGUCUAAUACCGGAUAGGACGAUGGUUUGGAUGCCAUUGUGUAAAGUUUUCCGGUGUGGGGUGAGCUCGCGGGCUAUCGGCUUGUUGGGGGGGUAAUGGCCUACCAAGGCGUCGACGGGUAGGCGGACUCGGAGGGUGUACGGCCAUACUGAGACCGAGGGGCGGCACAGACACCGACGGGAGGGAGAAGUGGGGAAGAUUGAACAAUGGGCGCAAGCCUGAUGAAGCGACGCUGCGUGGGGGAUGACGGCCUUCGGGUUGUAAAAUCCUUUCGCUAGGGACGAAGCGUUUUGUGACGGUACCUGGAGAAGAAGCACCGGCUAACUACGUG
rnacentral:rRNA from 1 species